AUUGAACGCUGGCGGCAUGCCUUACACAUGCAAGUCGAACGGCAGCACGGGUUCUUGCACCUGGUGGCGAGUGGCGAACGGGUGAGUAAUACAUCGGAACAUGUCCUGUAGUGGGGGAUAGCCCGGCGAAAGCCGGAUUAAUACCGCAUACGAUCUACGGAUGAAAGCGGGGGACCUUCGGGCCUCGCGCUAUAGGGUUGGCCGAUGGCUGAUUAGCUAGUUGGUGGGGUAAAGGCCUACCAAGGCGACGAUCAGUCGCUGGUCUGAGAGGGCGACCAGCCACACUGGGACUGAGACGCGGCCCAGACUCCUACGGGAGGCAGCAGUGGGGAAUUUUGGACAAUGGGCGAAAGCCUGAUCCAGCAAUGCCGCGUGUGUGAAGAAGGCCUUCGGGUUGUAAAGCACUUUUGGCCGGAAAGAAAUCCUUGGCCCUAAUACGGUCGGGGGAUGACGGUACCGGAAGAAUAAGCACCGGCUAACUACGUG
rnacentral:rRNA from 1 species